rnacentral:lncRNA from 10 species
GGCAGGAGCAGAUUCCAAAGGCACAGGAAGAAGCUUGCAGGUUUCCUUAAUGACAACAAAAAAGGGAGUAAUCCUACCCACUGUAAGAGUCAUGACUCUUGAUUGCAGCUGACAGAAACUCAUGACAGCCUGCUUUAGAUGAAGGGGGAGAGAAGGACUGGAAGAAUCUUGGAGUUGGGAAUGUCACACGUAAUUGAAGGAAGAACAAGAAAACUAUAAUUCUUCCCCUGGAGGCUGGAGUUUCCAGGAUGUCAAAAUUACCUCUGCUUGGGUGAGCUAUUUCAAGCAGCUGGGAUACCUGUGUCACUCCUGCUGUCUGCCAGUGACUGCCCAGCACUUCUAUCUCUGCUUGAUGCCUGCUGCCACGUGGCUGGUCCUCCUCCUCCUGCUGUGGCUGAGCCUUGGGGUGAAGACAGGCAGCUGCUCCCAACCCCAGAACCUUUGCUGUCUUGGGACGGAUCACCGCUGCAAGAGGGGAAGUUGCUACUGUGAUGAAUUCUGCCAUGUGGCACCAGACUGCCACCCAGACCACAGUGUCCUCUGCAACCCUGGUAACUCACAUACAGGCCCGAUUCCACCUACAGCAAAGCUGGAUGCGAUGGCUGGCAGAGGCAAACCCUUUGCCUGCACUUCAGGCCAAAGCCGGGAUGUGGCCUAGAUGGUUCCUAAGCUUCUCAGAUGACCAAGAUGGUGCUGCAGAUGGUGCUGAGGAUGGAGAACCCACCAAGCCC